CCCGUGCUAGUGGAUGGUACCAGUGAGCCGUUAGUAGAGCAUUUAUCAUAUACCACGGGGUCGGUGCUGUGCGUUUGCUUGGACUGGGCUGUGUGCCCUUCGUUAUCUUUGCAGGUUUCUGCUUGAGGGAACUAAUGGGUGUGAUCCAUUGGUAGGUGUUUGUUGCGGUUACCAUCCACGCAGUUGCUUGCUUGGUUCGUUGCUUUGACACAGCGUGCCUUCUUAGGUAGGUUAUGACUGACGAUGUUGAUGGCUAUCAAAAUGCUCCACAUUACACACACGUAUGGAAGCUUUUCCGGGGACUCGAGCUCCAUCUGUGUAACAGCUGCCAUGGAUACCACCACCCAUCGGCUCCACCCAGACUAACGCGGCAGCAGGCGUCCAGGUGUGCAUCGCUGAGUUACACACUACUACUGCACGCAGCGAUUUCAGUUUUUAGUCGUACCUAA
rnacentral:lncRNA from 1 species